rnacentral:lncRNA from 1 species
GAUUUUCGUAAAGCUGACUCUGCAUGUGACAGAUGUUGACACGUCUCGAAAAGUAGAUGGUUGGAAUCGGCGCUUCGACAAACUGCCCGUGAUUUUUGCAAAGCUUACUCUGCAUGUGACAGAUGCUGACACGUCUGGAAAAGCAGAUGCCUCUCCGAUAUCUGGAAUUGCCUCUUCGAUCUCUGAAAUCCCGUCGAGUGCAGAGGUUGCAUGUGACAAGUGCGGACAAAUCUGGAAAAGAAGAUUGGCCGUGGUUUCUAAGCAAGCCCAGCUUUUGAGAAAGCUAGCGCCUCUUUGAUUUUUGAGUUGGCCUCUUCGAUUUCUAAGCUCACCUCUUCGAUCUCUGAAAUCCCAUCGAGUGCUGAUUUUUAUAGAGGUACGCAAGACGUUCAAAGCACACUUGAAUUUCUGCCUGUAGAAACUC